rnacentral:lncRNA from 1 species
GGGUCAGGCAUGGAGAGAGCCAGCAGCAGCAGCAGCGCGUCCUCACAGGCAGUCUGACCGAGCCCGGGACCGGAAGGUACAGUCCUGCCAUCACCUCUGACAGUUAUCAGAGAGGAGACUUUUUUUCAUGUUGGAUUAUUUGGUUUGCAGACACACUAGAGGCAGGAUGGUUCCACUGACAUCAGUGCUGCUGCUGCUGCUCUCCUGCGUGUCCCUGCACAACCCCGCGCAGGCUGUGCCGGAGAUCUGCCGCGGGACGCACUGCUAUGGCGCGGAGACUGGAGAUCCAAGACCGUGCACCGGAGCGCACUGUCCGGGGAGCAGAUCGUCCAGACCGCCGAGGCAGUUCAACCCAGCAGCGCAAGGGAAAGCGGUUCAGAUAGUAGCCGGUCAACACAACGCGUAUCCGGGCUCUCCAAGAGCGGCAUCAUCGGAAGCUUAUCCGGCCGUCCGCGGCAGCGCACGCACCAGGGCGCCUGAAGUUUUACCCGCAGGAUGCGCCGACGCGGACUGCGCCGCGCGUGUGAAACCAUUUCAGCCCACCAACGACACCCGAGACUGUAGAGGGAUUGAGUGCAGACUGCCGCUGAGGUUACGGCCAAAAACUCGGGCGAGGUCGUGCGUAGGAGAGGGCUGUCUGGCCGUUUCAGAGGAGAGCGUCUCCUCCUCCUCCAGCCAGCUUCCUCCUGUCCAUCUGUCCGACAGAGCCGCGCAGUUUCUGGGAGAUUUUCCGGAGUUUGGAUAUCCGUCGUCGGAACUUGGCGGCGCGCCUCUGAGUGUCCAGCUCACAUGUGACAUCAAGCCAGGGGAAAAUGAAGUUCCCUCUGAAGAUGCCCUCAUCCUGCACCUCCAGCUGGCCAAAGGGCAGGAGAAGCUUGUGGAAGCCCUGAGAGGUCAGCAGAUCCUCAUCCACGACCUGCAGCAGAAGCUCGCCGACCAACAGGAGGCGCUGCUCUCACAGCAGCGCGGGAUCCUGGAGCAGCAGCGGCGGAUGUACGAGCAAAUGGACGUGGUGAAGGCCCAGUAUGGACUCCUGUCGGACACCAUCAAACAGGUGUCCUUCCAGGGCCUGCAGGGCGAGCUGCAGAGCUACUUCGAGAGCCACCUGGCUGGCCUGCAGAGCCAGGCCCGCAGCCAUCUGCAGAAAUCCUACGCCGUCCACAAAAUGGACGUAGACUCAAAGGUGAUGGACGUUGCCGGGGAGGCUCACUUUCCUCGGCCGCUGCUGGGAUGCCCGUCGGCCUGCAGGUCAGAGGAG